rnacentral:tRNA from 1 species
GCGCCUGUGGUGAAACUGGCAGACACGAUAGAUUUAGGUUCUAUUGCCUUUGGCGUGCAGGUUCAAGUCCUGUCAGGCGCA